rnacentral:lncRNA from 10 species
CGUCAUCGUCGCCACAGCGAACGCUUAUUUGGCACCGAGUGUCCGCCAGGCAUCGCUCUAAGCGCUUUAUACCCAUAACUCACUUCAUCUCAGCCACCCGGUUCCGUAGAAGCGUUUCAUCCGCGUUUUACAGACGUGUGCAGGAAAGAUUCUGAAGCUUGGCGGAGAGGGGUGUGUGAGUGGACACCAGUGAAGUAACGGUUUUUGUGUUACGAUGAUUUCUGUUUUCCUCUGCUGCCCUGUAAUGGCAGGAACUCGGAUAGUCUGGUCUUCAGACCAGGAGGACUCCCAGG